GCAAGACAAAAGGAACACCAAGAAGGGUGUCCCUGCUGCCAGUGCCUGGGGUCACAGCUGGGGCAGGGCAGGCACAAGGCACCCAAAGAGUACAUACAGAUGGAUGAAGGAGAAUCACUACCCUUUCAGCUGAAAGUGGGGCUAUCUCAACUUAAAAGAAAGGUCUGUGGAUGAAGCAUCAUUUCAGACUCCACAAUGAUUUGAUCAGAAAUUUCCAUUUUUCAACAUGAUCAAAACCCACCACGUCAGACCCUGAAUUACAGAGCAGGAAUCAGAGGCAUAACAACUUCUGAUAUUUAGUGGUUUUGCUUACAUGUUCGAUCACACGCAUUCCUUUCACUUCCUUCCAGCUCAUGUCUUUUGCUCUCUUGUCUUUUUAGUAAUGUGUAUCAUUACAAUACAUCUAUGCUUGUCAAUAAUUAGCUGCUGAUGUGUCCGCG
rnacentral:lncRNA from 1 species